CUGCUGCCUUCCGUAGGAGUCUGGGCCGUGUCUCAGUCCCAAUGUGGCCGUUCAACCUCUCAGUCCGGCUACCAAUCGUCGCCUUGGUGGGCCUUUACCCCGCCAACUAGCUAAUUGGACGCGAGCCCAUCUCUCAGCGGAUUUCUCCUUUGGUCCAGACAGGAUGUCCCAUCCGGACGUUAUGCGGUAUUAGCGAUCGUCUCCAACCGUUAUCCCCCUCUGAAAGGCAGGUUGCUCACGCGUUACUCACCCGUCCG
rnacentral:rRNA from 1 species